rnacentral:rRNA from 1 species
GACGAACGCUGGCGGCGUGCUUAACACAUGCAAGUCGAACGGAAAGGCCCUGCUUUUGUGGGGUGCUCGAGUGGCGAACGGGUGAGUAACACGUGAGUAACCUGCCCUUGACUUUGGGAUAACUCCAGGAAACUGGGGCUAAUACCGGAUAGGAGCUCCUGCUGCAUGGUGGGGGUUGGAAAGUUUCGGCGGUUGGGGAUGGACUCGCGGCUUAUCAGCUUGUUGGUGGGGUAGUGGCUUACCAAGGGUUUGACGGGUAGCCGGCCUGAGAGGGUGACCGGCCACAUUGGGACUGAGAUACGGCCCAGAAUCCUACGGGAGGCAGCAGUGGGGAAUAUUGCACAAUGGGCGGAAGCCUGAUGCAGCAACGCCGCGUGCGGGAUGACGGCCUUCGGGUUGUAAACCGCUUUCGCCUGUGACGAAGCGUGAGUGACGGUAAUGGGUAAAGAAGCACCGGCUAACUACGUG